GUAAGAAAGACGCACCAUUUGUGGCCUUUGUAUUGCCCUGCACCUUUGCAAAUGAUGAUUGAAAGAAUAGAUGCAUUUCCGGUUAAAUCAUUACAAUCGCCAAACUGUUAAAGAAUCGUGCUAUUUAUUAAAAAUAACCCAAUUGUCAAAAAUGUAUUAUCUAUUUAAGAACCUGGAACAACUAAAUGAUUAUUUGAACCUGAACUAAAAUCAUUUUAUGUGCAAUAUGGUUGUUAUUUAUUUUGUCAUCUUUGGCAUUAUAGUUGCUAUUUAUUUUGUGGCACCAAAAUUCAUGCUAUUAUGUAGCUUUUGAUGGCUAGCUCACAUCUCUUCCAUCUAGAGGGAUUAUGUGCUCCAGUCGUCGCUACCGUGGCCUCACUAUACUGCCGCCGCGCAAGGAAACCCUAGCCGCAUCGAGCUUGCAUUGACGCGCCCGCCUCCGAUGCACUCCGCAUCCACAGCUGCCACCUCGAGGUCAGCCUCAGGUGGAUAGCCUACCUGUAGGUGGUUCGGCUGCGGAGCUUCACUCAAGGUUGACAUCGCCGAGGAGCCCCCAAUUCCUUGCCUGGUUCUCGGAUGCGGAGGAUGGAGGACGGAACCAUACGCAAAGCCGCAAGGUGGAAUUCGUUGAUGAUGCGUCUGCCAGUGGCGACGCGGAGGAUGCUGACCGUCUGCCAAUGCUGGUGGGCAUCUCACAUGGCGCCACCGUCUCCAGUGAAGACCUCCGCCUCCUCCUCGCCAUCCUCUUCUGGGACCAUUUCAACACCUCCAAUCUGCCGCGCCACCACCCCAGUACCGCCACACCACCACGGCACCACCUAGAGGACCUACUUUGCAUCCCUAUCUUCUCAUAAGGUAGCCGGGUGUCCCCCUUUUUUGCAUUGAGAACCGGAAUUGAGUUAUUUCAAAUCCGUAGUAUAUGUGAAGGAAAGUAUUGCAAGGCUUCCCAAUGUGAACAGGGUAUUUGAUUCUAUCAAAAAAAUGAAGGCUUGGCGGACAGUCAAUACCACUCCAUGGCAAUGCUCUUCAGAAGGGUAUUACUUUAGUCACUAAAUUUGGGACCUCCUUUGUUUAUUCUAACAACUGGAUGAUAAAAUCAUCUACGUACGUAUUUGUAGUGAUCUUUUUCACUAAAGCUUCAUGUUUUUACUCUUAGUCAGCAUGGCAUGAGUUUCUCUUUCUUUGCGCUUUCAGUACUUCUCCAAUCAUCAGUUCUGAAACCAUAAAACUCCAUUUUUCCUAAAUAUGCGACGUUUUGGGAGUUCAAAUAUUUAUGAACGGAGUGUGCUAAUUAAGAAUUGUUGAGUUCAAGUUAUGUCUGAAUCUAGGAUCAAUGGGUCUGUGCCCACAUAACUUGUGUGAUAAAUUGCUUGCUUGUGUUAUCUCUUUUGACUUUCUUCAUCUUCUUUUGAGAGAAAUAUUUGAAUUUCUCUCUACAUAAUUACUAUAAACAGUGCUAAAAUCCUAUUCACAAAAAAAGCCUAGAAAGAACCCUUCGACUGAGGUUUUGCUGUACAUUCAAUUAUAGAGUAUGCUCGUGUAGUGGGAGAGUUUUCAUAAUGCUUAAUAUAAUUUGUUAUUUUGUAUUAUAUUUAUGUUACUUUCUAAGUUACAAUAAUUGUUUCAUGCUCCGCUCAUCUAUCAAUGUGUUCUGAAAGAAGAUGUAUUUUAAUUAUUCCAAAACUUGAGAAUAAAAAUAUCACUACUGUUUUUUUUUGCGGGAAAAUAUCACUACUGUUUUCUGAUCAACUUGCUGGGUAAUGGUAAGAUGGAUGGUUUCAAGGAAAAUAUGAAAGAACUGAUGUGCUGCCAAGUUGUUAAAAUUUUAGUCUGGGACAAUGAAAAAUGUAUGCAUGUCCAGAGGCAGAAUCAAAGACAAACCCCAAUCAGAUAUUAUCAGAUAGAAAAGUAGAAAUGUACUCUAGAUGAAACAUUCGGAAGACAUCAUCUAGGCUUAGUUUCAGAGGAGCGGACCAAAAAAAUUGGAGCUCCUUCUUUGUUUAUUCUAGCAACUGGAUUAUAAAAUUAUACUCGUAUAUAUUUAUGUAUUUGUAGUGAUGUUUAGCAGGAAAUUGUUACUGUUGUUUUACUAAAGCUUCAUGCUCUUACUCUUAGUCGGCAUGGCAUGAGUUUCUCUGUUUUUACACUUUCAGAACUUCUCCAAUCAUCAGCCCUGAAACCAUAAACUCCAUUUAGGAUUUUGUAAUACUUUACUAAUGAUUUCAUGGAGCAGUUGCACAGCGUUCCGCAGGUCGCAUCCGGCCUACCACCAAGGCAUCCUCACAUCGAGAUGUUGUCCGGGGAUGUGCCCACGAGGCUGGGUCUUUGUGUCCUUCCUCAACCUCAGCAUUGACGCGACUUGACCUGGACGUUGUCAAACCGAGCUCUGAUGAUACCAACAACGACUGGAAGCAUCCGGUGACGAGAUGAGUAUGCUUCUCGUGAUGUGUAUGCACAUGUGCCUUCGCUGCACUGAACUCGUUCUGCAUAUAUGUGCUUGCAAGAAAGGGCAACUAAUAUGUUUCUAUUUGUUAGAGAGCUCUGAAUAAGAUUAUUAUUUCGUCCUCUUAUAGAAUUUGCUCUCCUUACUCUUUGAUGCUUUCAUGAUUAAUAAUGUCUCUUCAUGAUUAUGUUUACAUACGAUGGAUGCGUCAAUGAAAAUUUUCAGCUGAAGCUCCUGGUCCUCAAAGGUUACUGCUCUUUUUCAUAGGUUCAUUCACAGGACAUUGAUUCUUUCAAGAUAUAAUUGCUUGGAAACUGGGAACUUUGUAGAUCGUUUUUUUUUCCUUCAAAAUGGAGGGGGUACCCCUGGCCUCUGCAUCGACUUUGUAGAUCGGGAUGUCUUUGGCGUGGCACUAGACACAAAAUAAAAUCUAGACAAUCUCUAGGUGUUGAAGAAAUGACGCAAUCAGGUGAACACUGCUCAAAAGGUCAAGACCAAUGAAAGGUCUUCCUGUUACUUGCGCAGGAGGAAGCGAGCUCCAGCAGCGGCGGAGCACAGGUUCCAGUAGCGGUCG